GACGAACGCUGGCGGCGUGCUUAACACAUGCAAGUCGAACGGAAAGGCCCUGCUUUUGUGGGGUGCUCGAGUGGCGAACGGGUGAGUAACACGUGAGUAACCUGCCCUUGACUUUGGGAUAACUUCAGGAAACUGGGGCUAAUACCGGAUAGGAGCUCCUGCUGCAUGGUGGGGGUUGGAAAGUUUCGGCGGUUGGGGAUGGACUCGCGGCUUAUCAGCUUGUUGGUGGGGUAGUGGCUUACCAAGGCUUUGACGGGUAGCCGGCCUGAGAGGGUGAACGGCCACAUUGGGACUGAGAUACGGCCAAGAGUCCUACGGGAGGCAGCAGUGGGGAAUAUUGCACAAUGGGCGGAAGCCUGAUGCAGCAACGCCGCGUGCGGGAUGACGGCCUUCGGGUUGUAAACCGCUUUCGCCUGUGACGAAGCGUGAGUGACGGUAAUGGGUAAAGAAGCACCGGCUAACUACGUG
rnacentral:rRNA from 1 species